rnacentral:rRNA from 1 species
UGGGGAAUAUUGGACAAUGGGCGCAAGCCUGAUCCAGCCAUGCCGCGUGAGUGAUGAAGGCCCUAGGGUUGUAAAGCUCUUUCACCGGUGAAGAUAAUGACGGUAACCGGAGAAGAAGCCCCGGCUAACUUCGUGCCAGCAGCCGCGGUAAUACGAAGGGGGCUAGCGUUGUUCGGAUUUACUGGGCGUAAAGCGAACGUAGGCGGACUAUUAAGUCAGGGGUGAAAUCCCGGGGCUCAACCCCGGAACUGCCUUUGAUACUGGUAGUCUUGAGUUCGAGAGAGGUGAGUUGAAUUCCGAGUGUAGAGGUGAAAUUCGUAGAUAUUCGGAGGAACACCAGUGGCGAAGGCGGCUCACUGGCUCGAUACUGACGCUGAGGUGCGAAAGCGUGGUGAGCAAACAGG